GGCAGCAGUCGGGAAUUUUGGGCAAUGGGGGAAACCCUGACCCAGCAACGCCGCGUGAGGGAUGAAGGCCUUCGGGUCGUAAACCUCUGUCGGAAGGGAAGAAAGGCGUCUGUUCGAAUACAGCAGGGGCUUGACGGUACCUUCAAAGGAAGCACCGGCUAACUCCGUGCCAGCAGCCGCGGUAAUACGGAGGGUGCAAGCGUUGUUCGGAAUUACUGGGCGUAAAGCGCGUGUAGGCGGCUUGACAAGUCGAGUGUGAAAUCCCAGGGCUCAACCCUGGAACUGCACCCGAAACUGCCUCGCUAGAGUCCCGGAGAGGGUGGCGGAAUUUCCGGUGUAGAGGUGAAAUUCGUAGAUAUCGGAAGGAACACCAGUGGCGAAGGCGGCCACCUGGACGGUGACUGACGCUGAGACGCGAAAGCGUGGGGAGCAAACAGGAUUAGAUACCCUGGUAGUCCACGCCGUAAACGUUGAGUGCUAGGCGUCGGGGGUAUUGACCCCUCCGGUGCCGGAGUUAACGCAUUAAGCACUCCGCCUGGGGAGUACGGCCGCAAGGCUAAAACUCAAAUGAAUUGACGG
rnacentral:rRNA from 1 species